CAAGCCCUUUCUCACAUUCUGUUCAAACUGUGUCAAUAGUAGAAUCUGUUGACUUACAAGAUAGUAUUCCUCAACUUUCACCACCAAUAAUUAAUAUCAGGAAGGAUUUAACUGCAAAUGCAUCGAAUAUGCAAGUAAACAACCAAAGCAGUAUU